UGAUUAGAGGCAAUCGAACCUAUGUAUACAACACUGGGACAGGCGGGUGUGGAGCCUUGCUUCUCUUUCUUUUUAAGAGGAGGGGUGAGCUCUUCCCCACUCGUCGCGUUGAGGGGAAUAUGGCGCAUUGUAU
rnacentral:rRNA from 1 species